GACGAACGCUGGCGGCGUGCUUAACACAUGCAAGUCGAACGGUGAAGCGCCUUCCUUUUUGGUGGGUGUGGAUGAGUGGCGAACGGGUGAGUAACACGUGAGUAACCUGCCCCCUUCUUCUGGAUAACCGCAUGAAAGUGUGGCUAAUACGGGAUAUUCUGGGUCUGUCGCAUGAUGGGUCUGGGAAAGAUAUUGUUUCGGUGGGGGAUGGGCUCGCGGCCUAUCAGCUUGUUGGUGGGGUGAUGGCCUACCAAGGCGGUGACGGGUAGCCGGCCUGGGAGGGUGGGCGGUCCCACUGGGACUGAGGCACCGCCCAGACUCCUACGGGCGGCAGCAGUGGGGAAUAGUGCACAGUGGGCGCAAGCCUGAUGCAGCGACGCCGCGUGAGGGAUGGAGGCCUUCGGGUUGUGAACCUCUUUCGGCAGUGAAGCAGGCCUGCCUCGUUUGUGGGUGGGUUGACGGUAGCUGGAUAAGAAGCGCCGGCUAACUACGUG
rnacentral:rRNA from 1 species